UACGUAGGGGGCAAGCGUUGUCCGGAAUCAUUGGGCGUAAAGAGCGUGUAGGCGGUUCAGUAAGUCUGCUGUGAAAGUCCAGGGCUCAACCCUGGGAUGCCGGUGGAUACUGCUGAACUAGAGUGCGGAAGAGGCGAGUGGAAUUCCCGGUGUAGCGGUGAAAUGCGCAGAUAUCGGGAGGAACACCAAUUGCGAAGGCAGCUCGCUGGGACGUUACUGACGCUGAGACGCGAAAGCGUGGGGAGCAAACAGG
rnacentral:rRNA from 1 species